rnacentral:lncRNA from 1 species
AUGCCAUCCGAUAACUUCAUGGCCUUUAUUUCCAUCUUAUUGGCUGCUGUUGAGUCACGAGUCUUUGAGUAUGCUCAGCGCGUGCCAUCAUGGGGCCAUGUUCUUCCCCUUUGCUCUUGGAGAAUAGACAAAGCUACCCAGCCCAGCCACAGCCUCAUAAUCUUGUUCUACCUCCCUCUCCAGCCUCAAAUAUUUCCAGGCUCCAGCUCAAGUCAUACAUCAGAUGCUGGUUUCCAGAAAACCCAAUGGACUAGGCUGGGACAAAAGAUGCUCUAUCACGCUGUCUCAGGUUCAUCUGCAAAGACACACAUAGGACCCAGCCACCUCUAUCCCUGGAUUACAUCACCGAAGUCCAUUUCAGUUCCACUUGGGAUCUACCCAGGAAAGGAAAUACCCACAUUGUCUGCACUUGGAUUUCCUGAACUUAUCUCUCCUUCCUUUGGAGGUAUGUCAAAGAAGUCUGACCAAAAUAGAUUUUUAGGGUUUAAAACCGGGAUGGGCUGUGGUAAGCCAUGAUUGCACCACUGCACCCCAGCUUGGGCAAUAGAGCAAGACCUCAUCUCAAAACAAAAUGAAACAAAGCAAAGCAAAGCAAAACAAACAAACUAGAGAAGAAAGGUUCUUGAUUGUAUGGAGCUUUGCAGCAGCUGCUGGAGAAAAGAAAAAGAAAAAGGAAAAACUGUGUAGAGAGCAGUUAUUCUGAUAAACAU